CUCAUUUCUCUCUUCCCUAGGUUUUUUCUCUUAGAAAAAUAUCGGAUCCAAUAUUUUACUUCAAUCCAGGGUUUCAUCUUUUUCUUCAGUUUUAAUCUUCCGGUCAUUCACUACAUAUCUUGCUUGCUUUCAGAAUUCAAUUUCUUAUUGUGUAAGAAAUCGAUCUUCAAAGCCAUCUUCGUCAUCUCCGCUAGGAAACCAUAUCAAACUGUCAAUUUCUUCUCCCAGGAAAAAUUAUGGUCCUGAAUUACUUGAUUGGGUUCUUGAUGGCGGUCGCAAAGAUUCUAAAAUAUGUGAUUUAUUUACAAGAUAUGUUCCUCUUUUGUUUGAAGCCUUCGCGUUGAAUACAAUGAUCCGUGUUUAGUCUUGUUGUUUGAUAUUUUAGGAUUUCAAGCUUAUCAUUCACCGGGUGCAAGACCUCUGAAUUUGAUGCCUCAAAGUGUUUCUGUAAGUUCUGUUUGCUGGUUCAAAUUUUUAACAAAGCUGGUGUGAUUUGGUAAGCGGCCAGUGAAAUUGGUACUGGAAUGUGUGUUGGUCAGAAAAUUAGUUGUUAUUAUGUUUCUGGACUAGGGUUUUUGUGAUAGAUGAUGAGCAGUGUGAUUAUAAUUUGACUCCCAUAGUAUGCGCAUCUAAAAGAAUUGUUCGGUAAUCAUUUUCCAUGUUCUUAGUUUUUGGCAACCACAACAAUAGUUUUGUGAUUAUCUCUCUUUUCUUGGUGAUUAUAUCUCUCUUAUUGAUAUUAUGAUCCCAUAAUUUGGUAUUCAUAGAUGAAAUUCAGGUAGAGGUCUGUGGUCUUUGUUUGACUCUCAGGUGGAUCAAGGAGACUUCAUAGGCGGAGUUCGCUAGAAGGUACCAAGAGUGCUUUACUUCAGAAGUUUACAGUAAUGACUGCGACUACAGAAUGCUUCUGAUAAUGGCGAAAACAAGACCUCCGAUCAAAGAGGCAGUGGAAUCUACUUUAGGGCGAUGAUGUUCAAGAAAUAUGAAGCAGUGGAAACUACUUUAAAGCAUUGGAGUUUACGGAAGUUUUCUAUUGUAAUAAAAAGUACGAUAUAAAUUAUAUAUUAAAAUAUUGUCUUUUGUUUUCUCAUUGUAUUGAACCUUGAAUUUCAGAAAUAACAAGGUGUUCAUGAAAUA